UCUCUCUCCUUCAGGCUAGCAACAUCAGCAUGAGGUCACAAUAACAACUCUCUCUCCAUCAGGCAUCAUCAUGAGGGCACAAUGGCUGGUCUCUCUCCUGCAGGCAAGCAGCAUCAGUGUGAAGUCACAAUGGACAGUUCUUCUCUCUCCAUCAGGCAGUGAGCAGCAGGGACCUUUCUGAAACAGGCAUCUACAGAGUAUGGGUAGCAUCUCUUGCUCAUGGAGCCAAGAAGAACCCUGGUACUUGGGUACAGAUUCAGUGGGCAUGCACAGGAGCACAUGGUCACAGUGGCCACCGGGAUCUCUCAUUGAAAUGGGCGGUGUUUGGGGGCAGAGAAACAGCAAGCGAGGAGGUAAGGGUUGGCAGGAAGACAUUCCAGCUUUUGUAGGGUUCCUACAAAUGAGUGCCUGAGGGUGGCCUGAUACCAAAAAGAUAGAGAUAAGCAAGGUGGGCACAGAAAUGUUAGCAGCAGACCAGAUAUUGGUACAAUUUGAGAGAAAAAAACAGGCAGAGAUUUAGCAGGCAGAUGCAUAGGAGCCCCUAUCUACUGAUACAGCAGUGCUUUGAGUUUCAAUGUGUGCCCCCACUGAAGUGGGGUGCAGAUUAGGAGAGAGAAAAACUAGGUGGUAGCAGGCAGCCUUUUGGCUUGGCAUAGGAGUAUUUCAACACGUGAAAUGUGCUAGAUUUUUGGGGGGGGGGUCGGGGGAGAGAAGGAGUGAGAGAACAUGGUAGUUGUUGGGCACAGAAACUAUAAUACAGUAUACUUCAACACCUGAUUUUAUCAGUAUUUUUAAUGUAUAUUUCAUAUUGUAGGUAAACUCUGAUGAACCCUGCAAACAAAUCCUGUUAAAUACAAUAGUAAAUAAUAUAGUAUAGAGGAAGCCAAUAUUCAGGCAGGAGGCAUUGGGAGCAGUGAGUGGGGAGCAUUGUGUGGGCAGGAGCAGCAAUGCUUGCCCUAGACUUGGCAGUAUGCAGCUCACCCCAUGCCAAAUGUCUAAGAACUCCAGCAAAUGAAGGUUAACCUUCAGAAUGACCAGCUGCUCCCAAGUGUCAUCCAUGAAGGGUGUGUGGACUCACAAACACUGCCUGCUACAGAGAACACUAGUUUACUCAGCAUCCUGGCUGGUGGGCAGGACAGGAGUUCCAUCCUGGCAAGGCAAAGCUCCAUCUAACCCUUCUGGCUGAUGGGAAGAACAUAAUGUGAUCUGCAAGGGGUUCACUGAAUCAGCACCUGACAGUGCUCUAUAUACUAUCUGUUUCCCAGGGGACACAGUUGGCUUCACAUACUGUCCCUGCCCCAAUGUACUGCACCCAUGUUACUUCCACUGAAGUUGGAGGUAGUCAUGUUAGGUAUACUGUUCAGCUGGCUACUGCUAUGGCUAUUUCCCUUGUUUACAGAUCACAUCAAAAAGGCUUUGUGGACGUUCUGAGUAAUACUUCCUCGCCUAUUUUAAGCCGGAGCUUGAGGUUUCUAAACUUGCAGGUGCUUUUUGCAUUCAAGAGAUUUUUCAUUUGUUCUGUGUUUACUGGUCUUGUGCCCAUUGCCAGAUAUGAAAAGAAAACACAGAAGAUGUUUGUUGAAUCAGCAAGUGGUGGCUUUAGAAUGCCAUUUGUGCAGCUGAGCCCUUUGGCAGCCUGCUCCAUUUCUUCUCUGUGUAUACAUACAGAAGAAGGAUCUCUGAAAGUGGAGGGUUAUGAACAAAGGCAGAAAAGGGAUGCAGAGAAAUGGUGAGAAACUAGCUUCUCAUACACGAUCUACCUUUAAAACACAUUCAGAGCACAUUACACUCCUCAAAGAAUUCUGGGCACUGUGGUUCAUUAAGGAGUGCUGGGUGGGAAUUGUAAUCUGUGAGGAGUUAACUACAGCACCCAGGAUUUUAUGAGGGAAAGAAUGAGCUUUGAAUGUGCUUUAAAUGUAUAGUGUGUACUGUUUGGGGGGGGCAACUUUCAGUUUGGAGCCAAUAAUUUGUUUCUAUAGCACUCUUCAUCAGCCUGGUGCUUUCCAGAUGCAUUGAACUGCAACUAUGCUGGCUUGUGCUGAUGGGAGUUGUAGUCUAAGGCUGCUUCCAGGCUGUUACUAUUUUAUAGGUGGGAUUCAGUAUCACACCAGCAAAUUCAAGUAGAUUGGGAAGCCUUGCUCAACUAGCUUCCCCACUGCCACCACCAAAAUCAUACUUUCUGUGAAAUGAAGAGUAGCAAGAGAGCACACUGGGAAAUGUGGAAUCCCAAUUGCUCCAUUUGGUAUUGUAUAACAUCCCUGCAAACAAAGUACAAUGAAUGUUUGACAUACAGCUGAGGUUGUACAAUCUACCUGAAAAUGUCAUGUAAACGAAUCAGGAUGAAUGGUCAUCCAGAAGUGACCCAAGGCAUCCGGAUGGUACCAGGUUGGCAAAGACCACUCUGUAGCCUCACUAACUCUUCAAAGAAAAAGAAAUGAUUUUAUAACAUAGACUCAUGACACAGAAAGCAGAAUAAAUGGAUCUGCUUUAUCCCAACAGUUAUAAUUCCAAAAAUUGACAGACAAACCCACUUGUCCCACAUUGCUGACCAUCUGAUGCCCUUUUGGUACAUAUGCAAGAAAGGGUUUCUAACACACAUAUGUUCUGUCUCAGAUUCAGUUCCAGUUCCUGCUUUUUUGUAGGGAUGCACUUGAGCAAGAUGCUCUCAGUUGACCCCAUAGCCUCAUCCUCAUCACGGUUGCUGCUGCCUUUCUGCUGCCUCUCUGUGGGUCAAGUUCACAUCACCCCCCAGAGGAAGAGAUCAAGUGGUGAGGAGGUCCCUGCUCCUCUUUCUGCUUGGUUAGUUGACAAGGACGGGUGAGUGUGUAGCAGCCACAACAAGGAAGACAAGCAUCAAGGGCAGAAGCUUCCAGGAAUUGGCAACAUACCCUGCAAUGGAGACGUUGGAGGUGCACAACAUUACUGACUCUUAACACACAACUCUGCCCAGAUCCCAUUGCACCACCAUUCCUUUUUAGGAGAUUCCUUUUUCUUCCAGUUGGAAGCAACAAACAUUAGAGCAAUUAAAGGAGAAAGAGAGAGGGAGAGAAUAAUCAGUUCCUUCCCAUCAGUUCUAUUUUAGUUUCUGAUUCCCCAUGACCUAUUUUAACCCAAAGUACAAUUCUAUUUAAUGCUUUUCUAAGGUCCAAUCUAGAUGUGAGAUUUGUCACGUAGUUUGCCCUUCUGUACUGGUUUCCAAAAAACAUACUGUCCAUCAGUAUGCAGAUGAUACCCAGCUCUACCUCUCCUUCAAAUCGGAACAAGUGAAGGCGGUGAAGGUCCUGUGUGAGUGUCUGGAGGUGGCUGGAGGAUGGAUGGCUGCUAACAGAUUGAGGUUGAAUCCUGUCAAGACAGAAGUACUGUUUUGGGGGGACAGGGGGCGGGCAGGUGUGGGGGACUCCCUGGUCCUGAAUGGGGUAACUGUGCCCCUGAAGGACCAGGUGUGCAGCUUGGGAGUCAUUUUGGACUCACAGCUGUCCAUGGAGGUGUGGCGUUUACCUGUUCUUUUGAAAAUGUACAGGGGGAGAGAAAGAGUUAAUAGGUAGACCAAUAGAAAAGCCAGAGGCGGAGCGUACCUGUUUAUAAAAGGGCUUAGCCCAAGGUUUGUUUAGUUAGUUAGUUAGUUAGUUAGUUAGUUAGUUGGUUGGUUGGAAAGAAGCAGUUGGGAAAAGCUGUUGGGAAAGCAGUUGGCAGACAGAUGGAAAUAGAGAGACAGUGCAGUUUGCUCUUGUGUGAGGGGAGGUUGAAGAGUUAGAGACAGAAUAAAAUAAGACUAAGAGGGUAAAGGGU